AAUCAGGCACAUAAUAGACAACAAAUUAACAAGUAGGUGAACCUAGCUGCAGACUUGAGAUUACCAUAUUUCUUAUACAAACAAACUCCUUUUAUAUUAUCAAACUAGAGAUAUAAUCAAGCUAAGAGUUGAGUAACUAGAAACUCGAGCCUGAUGAAAAAAAAGAUAAUAUUUAAAAUUGAGUCGAUUUAACUCCAAUAUCAACCGAGCCA
rnacentral:lncRNA from 1 species